AAUUUACUCACGGUGGCAGAUUGGAAAGUGUGGAAGCUCUUUCUCUCAUGAACGAGUUCUCAGGAACGAAAGGAGGCGGAAGACUUUUUUCUGUGGUACAUAUGUCCAUCUUUCUCAAGUACUGGUGGGUUCCUGAAUAGCUCCAUGCCAACAGCAGCGAAGAGAUAUCUAAGCAAGACACAAGGUUCAGCUUUGCGAGACCAAAACACAGGCCACGUGAGAAAUGUGAUGUUAACAGCCAAGUCAAAUACAUAGACAAUUAUGCAAAAUAUAUCCAGUAUAAAGACGAAUGGGGAGAUCCUGUUAAUGACACAAAAGUACAAGGACAAUGUCAACUAUACUUGAUGAAGGUCUCCAAACUGUUGGGUGAGUGCAUCAGCCUGUAUAUACAAACAAAGGCAGUAAGCAUAAUCAAAUAUGGUAGCAAGUCACGCACCAAGAGUUGACGACGGUUUUUGGUGACAAAGAAGAAAGAAGGUAAGAAAAAAGUAAUUGUUAUUUUAUCUAAUUCGGAAUGAUUGCGAACU